rnacentral:rRNA from 1 species
AUUGAACGCUGGCGGCAGGCCUAACACAUGCAAGUCGAACGAGUGGCGGACGGGUGAGUAAUGUCUGGGAAACUGCCUGAUGGCGGGGGAUAACUCCUGGAAACGGUAGCUAAUACCGCAUACCAUCGGAUGUGCCCAGAUGGGGUUAGCUAGUAGGUGGGGUAACGGCUCACCUAGGCGACUAUCCCUAGCUGGUCUGAGAGGAUGACCAUGCACACUGGAACUGAGACACGGGCCAGACUCCUACGGGAGGCAGCAGGGGGGAAGAUUGCACAAGGGGCGCAAGCCUGAUGCAGCCAUGCCGCGUGUAUGAAGAAGGCCUGCGGGGUGUAAAGGACUUUAAGCGGGGAGGCGUUACCCGCAUAAGAAGCACCGGCUAACUCCGUGCCAGCCGCCGCGGUAAUAC